GAUGAACGCUGGCGGCGUGCCUAAUACAUGCAAGUCGAGCGAACAGACGAGGAUCUUGCUCCUCUAACGUUAGCGGCUGACGGGUGAGUAACACGUGUAUAACCUACCUAUAAUACUUGGAUAACUUCGGGAAACCGUAGCUAAUACCGGAUAAUAUAUUUAACCGCAUUGUUCAAUAGUGAAAUACGGUUUUGCUGUCACUUAUAGAUGGUUCCGCGCCGCAUUAGCUAGUUGGUAAGGUAACAGCUUACCAAGGCAACGAUGCGUAGCCGACCUGAGAGGGGGAUCGGACACACUGGAACUGAGAAACGGUCCAGACUCCUACGGGAGGCAGCAGUAGGGAAUGUUCCGCAAUGGGCGAAAGCAUGACGGAGCAAAGCCGAGUGAGUGAUGAAGGUCUUCGGAUCGUAAAACUCUGUUAGUAGGGAAGAAAAAAUGUGUAAGUAACUAUGCACGUAUUGACGGUACCUAAUCAGAAAGCAACGGCUAACUACGUG
rnacentral:rRNA from 1 species